rnacentral:rRNA from 1 species
CACCAAGGAACAAUUGAGGAAGGCUUCAUUCAUCGAGCGUCAGCCCCUUUAAAAGGGGCCGACCCUCCCACCCGUGUCGAUUUGUAUCUUGUUGCUUUGGCGGGCCGGGCCGCGUCGUCGCUGUUCGCAAGGACCUGCGUCGGCCGCCCACCGGUUUUGAACUGGAGCGCGCCCGCCAAAGACCCAACCAAAACUCAUGUUGUUUGUGUCGUCUCAGCUUUAUUAUGAAAAUUGAUAAAACUUUCAACAACGGAUCUCUUGGCUCUGGCAUCGAUAAAGAACGCAGCGAAAUGCGAUAAGUAAUGUGAAUUGCAGAAUUUAGUGAAUCAUCAAAUCUUUGAACGCACAUUGCGCCCCUUGGUAUUCCGAGGGGCAUGCCUGUUCGAGCGUCAUAACACCCCCUCCAGCUGCCUUUGUGUGGCUGCGGUGUUGGGGCACGUCGCGAUGCGGCGGCCCUUAAAGACAGUGGCGGUCCCGGCGUGGGCUCUACGCGUAGUAACUUGCUUCUCGCGACAGAGUGACGACGGUGGCUUGCCAGAACACCCCUCUUUUGCUCCAGUCACAUGGAUCAAAGGUUGACCUGGAAAACCAGUAAGGACACCCGCUCAAACUUUACGUACACCUAAUACGCCAAGGGAGUU